rnacentral:rRNA from 1 species
UACGCAGGGGGCUCGCGUUGUUCGGAAUCUCUGGGCGUAAAGCGCACGUAGGCGGAUUGUUAAGUCGGGGGUGAAAUCCUGAGGCUCAACCUCAGAACUGCCUUCGAUACUGGCGAUCUUGAGUCCGGAAGAGGUUGGUGGAACAGCUAGUGUAGAGGUGAAAUUCGUAGAUAUUAGCUAGAACACCAGUGGCGAAGGCGGCCAACUGGUCCGGAACUGACGCUGAGGUGCAAAAGCGUGGGGAGCAAACAGG